rnacentral:ncRNA from 1 species
GAAACUAUUAUGGAUAAUUAGCUAUAUAUUAAAGAAAAUCUAGUCAAUCUAGAUUCUAAGAGAAAUCCAAUAAUAAACGAAGUGAAUUGAAAUAUCUUAGUAACUUCAGGAAGAGAAAUCAAACGAGAUUGUUAUUUGGUGUCAACUAAAUAACAAGAGCCUAUUAACAAAACUUGUUAAAGUAAAACGGACUAAAAUCUGUUUGAAUAUAGGGGAACCUUCCUCUAAGGCUAAAUAUGAUAUAUAAGCGAUAGUGAAAAGUACCGUGAGGUAAAAUUUGAAAUAGUAGUUUUAUAAGCAGCUCGAGUGAAAAUUUAAAUAAAUAAUAAGAGCGUACCUUUUGCAUAAUGGGUCAGCAAGUUAAUUUUAGAUGCAAGCAAUGAUUUCAUCAAUAGAUUGAUGGAACUAGCUUAGAUAAACCAAUUAUGAGAAAAUGAUUAAGUAUCUAGAAUUAGACCCGAAGGCUAGUGAUCUUACCAUGGUCAGGGUUAUAAAAGCCCGAACGGGUUAUCGUUGUAUAGAUAUCCGAAGAAUUGUGGUAAGUUAGUGAAAGACAAAACUGACUAGUAUAGCUGGUUUUCCGCGAAACCUAUAUGAGUAGGUAAUUCAAUUCACAUCUUAGCAGGUACAGAACUGUGAUCUCGGACAAUAUCUUUUGAUUUUGUCAACAUCGGGGGGUUGUAGUGACUUUACCGGAGAGUAUUUGCACUCGGAAUGGCAAAGAUGAAUGUUGAAUAAUCGGACAUAGUGCGAUAAGGUUGUAUGUCAAAAGGGAAACAGCCCAGAACAAGAGUUAAGGUUCCAAAAUUAUUGUUGAGUGAAAUUAAGGAUGUUUUUUUUUAAUACAAUCAGGAAAUAGGCUUAGAAGCGGCCAUUUUUUGAAGACCUCGUAACAGAGCACUGAUUAAAUUUUCUUAGAAAAAAACACCGAAAAUUUAACGGAUCUAAACAAUAUACCGAAACCUUGUACACAUAUUAUAAUUAUAAAAUUGUAUAUGUGGGGUAGCGGAACAUUGGAUAAAUAUUAGUUAUUAUUUCUUCUAAGAAGUAAUAAGUAUGAAUAAUUUUUAAUAAAAUAAAUAUAAUCUUAUUAUAUUAAAAAAAUAUAGUGGUUUAUAUGAAUAAAUAUUAAUAUUAUUCAUCGAUAUAAUCCAAGAGAGAAUGCUGACAUGAGUAACGAAAAAGGAAUAUCCCUCGCCUUAAGCUUAUGGUAUUAUAUUUAAUUUUCGGUAUCUAAAAAUAUUAAUCAAAAGGUAAUUUUGAUGAUGUUUUAUAUAUUAAUGCUUAAGAGUAAAAAGCAAAACCUUUAACAAGUAAUAAAGGUUCUGGAAAAUUUUUUACUUUAAAUAAAAUUUAUUUUGUAUAGCUAUAUAACUUCUUGUUACAAGUUUUCAAGAUUGUAUAGCAUUAUAUGCAAAGUAUAUUUUUAUUUUUAUACUAUUUUUAUAGUAUAAUAAGAUUUAUAUAUACCGUACCUAGAUACUAUCACAAGUAAGCAAGUAGAGAAUACAAAGGCGUUUGAGUGAACAAUCAUUAAAGGAACUCGGCAAAUUGACUACCGUAACUUCGGGAUAAGGAGGGCCCAUUAUCAUUAGUUUAACAUAUCUUAGGAUAUGAUUUAAUUAAAUUAAUGGUAAGAGGAAACAUGAAAUAAUGUUGUACGACUGUUUAAUAAAAACACAGCACUCUGCAAAGAUAAAAUAUCUAAGUAUUGAGUGUGAUGUCUGCCCAAUGUCGGCUGGGUAACGGAUUUACCUCGGUUUUUAACUUAGGUUUUGAAGGAUACCCCGAUUAAUGGCGGCCUUACCUAUGAGGGUCCUAAGGUAGCGAAAUACCUUGGCCGUUAAAUGCGGUCCUGCAUGAAUGACUUAACGAUACAACAGCUGUCUCGAUGAUUGUCUCAGUGAAAUUG